rnacentral:misc_RNA from 1 species
AUUAUUAUUAUUAUUAUUAUCAUCGAAGAGAUCAGAUAAAAAAAUUAUUUCACAAAAUGCUUUAUCUAUUUUAUGUCUUAGAUAAUAAAGGAAAUUGGCAUAUUUAGGGGUUGAAGUUGAAGAGUUACUGAUCUGUGUAUAUUUUUUCCUCUUCAUAUAAUCCAUUACGCAUGUUUAAGAAUUGAAUUGAAAUAUGCAUCGUUUUUUUUAGGGAAUUCAGCAAUUUGGGACUG